GGUUAGACAAGGUACGAUGUGAGGAGGAGCAAAUGGAGUAUGAACCGUCGGGUCAGAUUUUGUUUGUUUUGGGCAGCAAAGCGUUGUCAGGGCAUGGGGACUGGCCUCAGUGCACUACUUGCUUAUUAUUCUCCUGUUAUACCUACAUAUUAUACACACACGAACCUGGAAUAAGGGGUGGAUGGAUGGAUUCCUUGACUAUGUAUACUGUGUUUUUCCUUUUGUCCUAGAUCGCACAAGCACUACGAAUCAACAUUGGAUUGCACACGAACAGCGCAAGGGCGAUUCAUCUGU
rnacentral:lncRNA from 1 species